rnacentral:rRNA from 1 species
UACGUAGGGGGCGAGCGUUGUCCGGAUUUAUUGGGCGUAAAGAGCGUGUAGGCGGCCAGGUAGGUCCGUUGUGAAAACUCGAGGCUCAACCUCGAGACGUCGAUGGAAACCAUCUGGCUAGAGUCCGGAAGAGGAGAGUGGAAUUCCUGGUGUAGCGGUGAAAUGCGCAGAUAUCAGGAAGAACACCUAUGGCGAAGGCAGCUCUCUGGGACGGUACUGACGCUGAGACGCGAAAGCGUGGGGAGCGAAAAGG